AUCAACAAUCACCAACAGUUACAAAAACUAAGAAAAGAAAAAUAUCGGAAGCUAAGCAGGGUCGGGCCUGGUUAGUAUUUGGAUGGGAGACCGCCCGGAAAUACCGGGUGCUGUAGGAA
rnacentral:rRNA from 1 species